AAUAAAUUCAAAACAACAUUAGACAAUAGCUAAACUACAAAGACAUGCAGGGGGAAUCAAGAACGAUCCUGACAACCUCUUAACAGGAGGUCAUGUGCAAAGACCAGGGCGGGGGACCCUAGAGUGGAACAGGAGG